rnacentral:rRNA from 1 species
AUUGAACGCUGGCGGCAUGCUUUACACAUGCAAGUCGAACGGUAACAGGCCUUCGGGCGCUGACGAGUGGCGAACGGGUGAGUAAUGCAUCGGAACGUGCCCAGUCGUGGGGGAUAACGCAGCGAAAGCUGUGCUAAUACCGCAUACGAUCUGCGGAUGAAAGCGGGGGACCUUCGGGCCUCGCGCGAUUGGAGCGGCCGAUGUCAGAUUAGGUAGUUGGUGGGGUAAAGGCUCACCAAGCCAACGAUCUGUAGCUGGUCUGAGAGGACGACCAGCCACACUGGGACUGAGACACGGCCCAGACACCUACGGGUGGCAGCAGUCGAGAAUUUUUGACAAUGGGGGGAACCCUGAUCGAGCGACGCCGCGUGGAGGAUGAAGGUCUUCGGAUUGUAAACUCCUGUCAUUGGGGAACAAGGUGCAUACGUUAACUGCGUGUGCAUUGAUAGUACCCGAAGAGGAAGAGACGGCUAACUCUGUGCCAGCCGCCGCGGUAAUAC